CGUAGGUGGACCUGCGGAAGGAUCAUUA
rnacentral:ncRNA from 6 species